rnacentral:rRNA from 1 species
UCCAGACUCCUACGGGAGGCAGCAGUGGGGAAUAUUGCACAAUGGGGGGAACCCUGAUGCAGCGACGCCGCGUGGGUGAAGGAGUACUUCGGUACGUAAAGCCCUAUCAGCAGGAAAGAAAAUGACGGUACCUGACUAAGAAGCCCCGGCUAACUACGUGCCAGCAGCCGCGGUAAUACGUAGGGAGCGAGCGUUAUCCGGAUUUAUUGGGUGUAAAGGGUGCGUAGACGGGGAAUUAAGUUAGUUGUGAAAUCCCAAGGCUCAACCUUGGAACUGCAACUAAAACUAAUUUUCUUGAGUACUGGAAAGGAAAGUGGAAUUCCUAGUGUAGCGGUGAAAUGCGUAGAUAUUAGGAGGAACACCAGUGGCGAAGGCGACUUUCUGGACAGAAACUGACGUUGAGGCACGAAAGUGUGGGGAGCAAACAGGAUUAGAUACCCCUGUAAA